CUGAAGAGAGUGGGGCAGGCAAGAAGUAGUGAGUUGGUAGGCAGCUGUGGAAUUCAGUAGAGAUUGUGAAGGCGUGAAUUAAGCAAAGGGUAGUGAGGACAGACAGGAUAAAAACCAUGGAUGGUAACUGCAGUGUCUUUGAACUGCCAACUGUCUUUAGAAGUAACAUAAACCCAAAAAAGCAAUUUUAAUGGCCAAACAGAACUCUUCAGACUCUUGGAAGUGGCAGGACACCGAGCCAUGGAGAGCAGACUACCAGAGGGCACCGGAAGGAAGGUCCUGAUUCAUGCUGAUCCGUGACUUAACACAUGGCACCAGAUAAGUCAACUUGAUUUCCUAUGUUAAGCAUUUAGGAAAAAUUAAAUGUCCCACUCUGGAUUGAGUGCCAACACCUUCUCUCCACUCCUAUCUCAAGCUAUUAAAGAUUACCUGUGGCAGCAUUCUUUUGUUGGAACUUGGUUAAAUACAUGUUCAUUCCUUUCUUAAAGUCCUGAGAAAACACAAUUUUUAAAAUCCAGGAGAUUAAGACCUUGGAAUUUAUAGUGUAUCUGCAUAUUAGUACUCAAAUUACCUGAGUGUCAGAUUUACUGAAAAACACAUAUCCCUCGAAUGUCUACUACCUUUUACUUAAGAAUGCAUAUGCUUUGCCUUCUACUUUUGCUUUUAAGUUUUAUACCAGCCUCCCACACAUCCCCCAAACACAUUUACACAUCAUUCAUCUAAGAGACCAUGAGAGUCAAUAUAAAAAGAAAUGGAGGUAUAAGCCAGAUCAGAGUAUAUUCUUCUAGAAUCUAGAAAAAUUACUUAGGAACUUAAUUUAAAUGAAAGCAGACAUUUUUUUUUUCCAUGCAAAACUCUAUGAUUUCACCAUAAAAGAAUGGAAGAUUUUUUUAAGCUGCUUUUUUACCUUAUCCCCAAUGUAGUCAUGGAGCAUUCGGAUGACAGAUGCACCUUUGCUAUAUGAUAUAGCGUCAAAUAUCUCAUCGACUUCAGAAGGAUGUCCCACACUGACCUGGCAGACAGUGUGAUUCAGGGUUAUAACAGGAAGCAGACAGCCUGUAAUACUGAAUUACAUAAAAAGCUUUCUAGGAAAACCCUCCUAACUCAUAAGAUACUUUUCUGCCUUUAGCUCACUGAUAAAUGCAUAAUGAUGAUCCUUAAAAAGCAUGUAGUAACUAAUACUAAAUAAAGUGGAAUAUAUGACAUGAUCCCCAUCAUCUCUGAGGGUCCUGGCUCCGCUUUGCUGGGAGGUAAAUCACUACGGAUCUAUUUACUGGAAGACUGGAGAAGGAAGAAAGGAGAGAUGAAAAACAUUUUAUUUCUUGCAGCUAAUUGUAAUGGCUUACAAUUAUAUAGGAUCCUCGUUAAAUACAUCAAAGUAGACUGUAAGUCUAGUUCUUUGGAAGCAAAAUUAAUUCAUAUAAACUAAGCUGAAAUAAGUCAAGAGAAAUAAAAUAUACAUAAAAACAGAUCAUGACAACAAUAACAAAAAUACAUUCAGAAUUUUCUUUGAAACAAACAAUGGAAUCAAAAUGUUCCCUUAUGCAUACUGCCCAAUAGGCAUGGUUCUCCCAUUCUAUGCAAUAAAAAUGUACUUAGUGAAUGUUUAUGGGUACAUAGCACUUACUUCUACAAAGAUCAAAUUUUUAUACUGCUUACCUUAAAAAGAAACAUAAUUAGAACUUAACCUUGUGAGAUUUUUCAAGACUGAAAAUAUAAGCUAUAAAAACAAGUGAACUGCUCAUGUAAUUUUCUUUUCAGAGUCCUAAGUAUCUCUAUAACAAAUUACUUAUUUCAUUAAAUAUGAGAGAAAGGCCGAUGGUUGAAAAGUAUGGCUCACUUCAAUAGGAUGGCUGUUAUCUAGAGCGUCAAGUUCCUGGGCACGGGUGUAAUCAGCAGAAACAAACUGAGUCCAGAUAUCAUACUCUGGGAAGCAGUGGUCUACACACAGAUAUUCAAUCCAUGAUGCAAAGCCUUCAUUUAGCCAAAGAUGAG